UACGUAGGGUGCAAGCGUUAAUCGGAAUUACUGGGCGUAAAGCGUGCGCAGGCGGUUUUGUAAGUUUGUCGUGAAAUCCCCGGGCUCAACCUGGGAAUUGCGAUGAAGACUGCAAGGCUAGAAUCUGGCAGAGGGGGGUAGAAUUCCACGUGUGAGCAGUGAAAUGCGUAGAUAUGUGGAGGAACACCGAUGGCGAAGGCAGCCCCCUGGGUCAAGAUUGACGCUCAUGCACGAA
rnacentral:rRNA from 1 species